rnacentral:rRNA from 1 species
GAUGAACGCUGGCGGCGUGCCUAAUACAUGCAAGUCGAGCGAAGCGGGGACGGGUGAGUAACACGUGGAUAACCUCCUAUAAGACUGGGAUAACUUCGGGAAACCGGAGCUAACCCCGAUACUUAUAGAUUGAUCCUCGCUGCAUUAGCUAGUUGGUAAGGUAACGGCUUACCAAGGCUACGAUGCAUAGCCGACCUGAGAGGGUGAUCAGCCACACUGGGACUGAGACACGGUCCAGACUCCUACGGGAGGCAGCAGUAGGGAAUCUUGCGCAAUGGGCGCAAGCCUGACGGAGCCAUGCCGCGUGAGUGAUGAAGGUCUUCGGAUCGUAAAACACUGUUAUUAGGGAAGCGGUACCUAAACAGGAAGCAACGGCUAACUACGUGCCAGCAGCCGCGGUAAUUC